rnacentral:lncRNA from 1 species
UCAAGCUGAAGGCAACACUUGUGGCCACUAAGAUGUAUAACGGAAUAUUAUUAUUUGUUGCUAUUGUGUUAAUCUUUGCUCAAGUCUUCGCAAUGCCGGAAUUCACACAUGAAUUGGCAGGAAUUCCUACUAAGAUAAUCAACGAAACGAAAAACUUAUUUAAAGGUUUUGGAUGCUGAUUAUAUACACAAUGACAGGUACAUGAAAAUACGUCACCCCAACACCUUAAUGUUUUGCAAACAUGCCUAGUAUUUUAUUUACAGUUAGGCAUAUAGUUUUCUCAACAACAUAAAAUAAUAAACAUUCAGAAUUCA